rnacentral:rRNA from 1 species
AAUAGAGCCUUAAACAAGGCCAGGCCUUACGGGGCACCAGCGGCGAACCUCGUCAAUCGGGAAACCGGGAGAGGGUCACCCGAGUCCCCGUAAGGAGCCUUUCCCGCUGCAGAAGGCGAGGGAAUAAGGGGGGCAAGUCUGUUUCAGCGCCGCGGUAAUACCGUCCCGCGAAUGAUCGGGACUCUGGUGGGCCUAAGCGCCCGUAGCCGGCCCGUAGUCCCUCCUUAAAGCCCCGGGCUCAACCCGGGGAGCGGGGGGAUACUGCCGGGCUAGGGGGCGGGAGAAGCCGGGGGUACCCCAGGGGUAGGAGCGAAAUCCGAUAAUCCCUGGGGACCACCAGUGGCGAAGGCGCCGAGCUGAACGCGCCCGACGUGAGGGGCGAAAGCCGGGGGAGCGAACCGGAUUAGAUACCCGGGUAGUCCCGGCUGUAAACUAUGCGGGCCAGGUGUCGGGCGGGCGUUAGAGCCCGCCCGGUGCCGCAGGGAAGCCGUUAAGCCCGCCGCCUGGGGAGUACGGCCGCAAGGCUGAAACUUAAAGGAAUUGGCGGGGGGGCACACAAGGGGUGGAGCCUGCGGCUCAAUUGGAGUCAACGCCGGGAACCUCUACCGGGGGCGACAGCAGGAUGACGGCCAGGCUAACGACCUUGCCCGACGCGCUGAGGGGAGGUGCAUGGCCGUCGCCAACUCGUGCUGUGAAGUAUCCUGUUAAGUCAGGCAACAAGCGAGACCCCCGCCCCUAGUUGCGACCCUGCGGGCGACCGCGGGGGCACACUAGGGGGACUGCCGCCGCUAAGGCGGAGGAAGGAGGGGGCCACGGCAGGUCAGCAUGCCCCUAAACCCCCGGGCUGCACGCGGGCUACAAUGGCGGGGACAGCGGGAUCCGACCCCGAAAGGGGGAGGCAAUCCCUGAAACCCCGCCGUAGUUGGGAUCGGGU